ACGAGUUAUAAACUCCUUAAAACCCACUGUGAACAUACCCUUUUGUUGCCUCGGCAGGCUGUGCUUACCCUGUAGCUGUUACCCUGUAGUGCUUACCCUGUACUUACCCUGUAAUAGCUACCCGGUAGACACGCUGAACGGCCUGCCGGUGGUCUUCCAAACUCUUGCUAGUUAUCGUGGAACUCUGAUUUAAACGUAACAAUAAGUUA
rnacentral:misc_RNA from 1 species